AGACCCGAAACCCGGUGAUCUAGCCAUGGGCAGGUUGAAGGUUGGGUAACACUAACUGGAGGACCGAACCGACUAAUGUUGAAAAAUUAGCGGAUGACCUGUGGCUGGGGGUGAAAGGCCAAUCAAACCGGGAGAUAGCUGGUUCUCCCCGAAAGCUAUUUAGGUAGCGCCUCGUGAAUUCAUCUCCGGGGGUAGAGCACUGUUUCGGCUAGGGGGCCAUCCCGGCUUACCAACCCGAUGCAAACUGCGAAUACCGGAGAAUGUUAUCACGGGAGACACACGGCGGGUGCUAACGUCCGUCGUGAAGAGGGAAACAACCCAGACCGCCAGCUAAGGUCCCAAAGUCAUGGUUAAGUGGGAAACGAUGUGGGAAGGCCCAGACAGCCAGGAUGUUGGCUUAGAAGCAGCCAUCAUUUAAAGAAAGCGUAAUAGCUCACUGGUCGAGUCGGCCUGCGCGGAAGAUGUAACGGGGCUAAACCAUGCACCGAAGCUGCGGCAGCGAACGUAUCACUUAAAGCGAUUCAGCGGGUUACGAUUGACGGAGCGAAGCGACGUCAAAGCGUAUACAAAGUCGAGUCGGUUUAAGGAUACGUUCGUUGGGUAGGGGAGCGUUCUGUAAGCCUGUGAAGGUGGCCUGUGAGGGUUGCUGGAGGUAUCAGAAGUGCGAAUGCUGACAUAAGUAACGAUAAAGCGGGUGAAAAGCCCGCUCGCCGGAAGACCAAGGGUUCCUGUCCAACGUUAAUCGGGGCAGGGUGAGUCGACCCCUAAGGCGAGGCCGAAAGGCGUAGUCGAUGGGAAACGGGUUAAUAUUCCCGUACUUGGUGUUACUGCGAAGGGGGGACGGAGAAGGCUAUGUUGGCCGGGCGACGGUUGUCCCGGUUUAAGCGUGUAGGUGUGUGUUCCAGGUAAAUCCGGUUCACUUUAACACUGAGGCGUGAUGACGAGGCACUACGGUGCUGAAGCAACAAAUGCCCUGCUUCCAGGAAAAGCCUCUAAGCAUCAGGUAACAUCAAAUCGUACCCCAAACCGACACAGGUGGUCAGGUAGAGAAUACCAAGGCGCUUGAGAGAACUCGGGUGAAGGAACUAGGCAAAAUGGUGCCGUAACUUCGGGAGAAGGCACGCUGACACGUAGGUGAAGUGAUUUACUCAUGGAGCUGAAGUCAGUCGAAGAUACCAGCUGGCUGCAACUGUUUAUUAAAAACACAGCACUGUGCAAACACGAAAGUGGACGUAUACGGUGUGACGCCUGCCCGGUGCCGGAAGGUUAAUUGAUGGGGUCAGCGCAAGCGAAGCUCCUGAUCGAAGCCCCGGUAAACGGCGGCCGUAACUAUAACGGUCCUAAGGUAGCGAAAUUCCUUGUCGGGUAAGUUCCGACCUGCACGAAUGGCGUAAUGAUGGCCAGGCUGUCUCCACCCGAGACUCAGUGAAAUUGAACUCGCUGUGAAGAUGCAGUGUACCCGCGGCAAGACGGAAAGACCCCGUGAACCUUUACUAUAGCUUGACACUGAACAUUGAGCCUUGAUGUGUAG
rnacentral:rRNA from 3 species